AGUGAACGCUGGCGGUAGGCCUAACACAUGCAAGUCGAACGGCAGCACAGUAAGAGCUUGCUCUUACGGGUGGCGAGUGGCGGACGGGUGAGGAAUACAUCGGAAUCUACUUUUUCGUGGGGGAUAACGUAGGGAAACUUACGCUAAUACCGCAUACGACCUACGGGUGAAAGCAGGGGAUCUUCGGACCUUGCGCGAUUGAAUGAGCCGAUGUCGGAUUAGCUAGUUGGCGGGGUAAAGGCCCACCAAGGCGACGACCCGUAGCUGGUCUGAGAGGAUGAUCAGCCACACUGGAACUGAGACACGGUCCAGACUCCUACGGGAGGCAGCAGUGGGGAAUCUUGGACAAUGGGCGAAAGCCUGAUCCAGCCAUACCGCGUGGGUGAAGGAGGCCUUCGGGUUGUAAAGCCCUUUUGUUGGGAAAGAAAAGAAGCAGGUUAAUCCCCCGCUGUUCUGACGGUACCCAAAGAAUAAGCACCGGCUAACUUCGUG
rnacentral:rRNA from 1 species